AUUGAACGCUGGCGGCAGGCCUAACACAUGCAAGUCGAGCGGAGCGGCGGACGGGUGAGUAAUGCCUGGGAAUCUGCCUGGUAGUGGGGGAUAACGUCAGGAAACGGGCGCGAAUACCGCAUACUAUCAGAUUAGGCUAGGUCGGAUUAGCUAGUUGGUGGGGUAAAGGCCUACCAAGUCGACGAUCCGUAGCUGGUCUGAGAGGAUGAUCAGUCACACUGGAACUGAGACACGGUCCAGACUCCUACGGGAGGCAGCAGUGGGGAAUAUUGCACAAUGGGCGAAAGCCUGAUCCAGCCAUGCCGCGUGUGUGAAGAAGGUCUUCGGGUUGUAAAGCACUUUAAGCUGGGAGGCGUUACCAACAGAAUAAGCACCGGCUAACUUCGUGCCAGCCGCCGCGGUAAUAC
rnacentral:rRNA from 1 species